UAGUGCAAUUGUGUAAAACUGCGACAUGGAAGGGGACGCGAAUAACGUAGCACGUGGUGCCGUAGUUGGUGAAGUCAUCCAUAACGGUAUCAGAAUAGGUGUCCCAGGGUCGGUUCAGGGAGUGAUCGGCGCAGCGACGGGUACGGCGGUGGGGGUGGCCGUGGGGGCGCUGUCCGGCGGUCCGGCGGGCGCCCUCGUCGGCGGCCUUGUCGGAUACGUCGUCACCCGCCGACCCGUCCGCGACGACCAUCAGGACUGACGUAGGACGCGCAGACGCUGUAUGCUAACAUAUUGUGGACACAUAUACAUACGGAAUGCUAGACAGAAAUACAUAAAUCUAUAUAUAUGUAUAGAGAUAACGAACGAUAAGCGUGAGCAAGAUGUCGCUUAGAACUACUUUAGGUAUACAUUAAGUGUUUGUAUUGCAAUAGUGAAAUAAAUGUAUUGUGUUACACAAUUAAAUGUAUAUAACU